rnacentral:misc_RNA from 1 species
UGGUUCUGGCAUCGAUGAAGAACGCAGCGAAAUGCGAUAAGUAAUGUGAAUUGCAGAAUUCAGUGAAUCAUCGAAUCUUUAAACGCACAUUGCGCCCUCUGGUAUUCCGGGGGGCAUGCCUGUUCGAGCGUCAUUACGACCCUCAAGCUCUGCUUGGUAUUGGGCGUCAUCGCUUUGGUGCGCCCUAAAAUCAGUGGCGGUGUCACCUGGCUCCUAGCGUAGUAAUACUUCUCGCUAUUGAGCUUAGGUGUAUGCUUGCCAUCAACCCCAAUUUCAAAGGUUGACCUCGGAUCAGGUAGGGAUACCCGCUGA